GUAACACGUAAACAACCUGCCUUCAGGAUGGGGACAACAGACGGAAACGACUGCUAAUACCGAAUAAGUUCCAAGAGCCGCAUGGCCCAUGGAAAAAAAGGUGGCCUCUACCUGUAAGCUAUCGCCUGAAGAGGGGUUUGCGUCUGAUUAGCUGGUUGGAGGGGUAACGGCCCACCAAGGCGACGAUCAGUAGCCGGUCUGAGAGGAUGAACGGCCACACUGGAACUGAGACACGGUCCAGACUCCUACGGGAGGCAGCAUG
rnacentral:rRNA from 1 species